UACGUAGGGUGCGAGCGUUAAUCGGAAUUACUGGGCGUAAAGCGUGCGCAGGCGGUUCGCCGUGUCCUGUGUGAAAGCCCCGGGCUUAACCUGGGAAUUGCAUGGGAAACUGGCGGGCUCGAGUGUGGCAGAGGGGGGUGGAAUUCCGCGUGUAGCAGUGAAAUGCGUAGAGAUGCGGAGGAACACCGAUGGCGAAGGCAGCCCCCUGGGCCAACACUGACGCUCAGGCACGAAAGCGUGGGGAGCAAACAGG
rnacentral:rRNA from 1 species